UACGUAGGGUGCAAGCGUUGUCCGGAAUUAUUGGGCGUAAAGAGCUCGUAGGCGGUUUGUCGCGUCGAAUGUGAAAACCCGGGGCUCAACCCCGGGCCUGCAUUCGAUACGGGCAGACUAGAGUUCGGUAGGGGAGUCUGGAAUUCCUGGUGUAGCGGUGAAAUGCGCAGAUAUCAGGAGGAACACCGGUGGCGAAGGCGGGUCUCUGGGCCGAUAUUGACGCUGAGGAGCGGAAGCGUGGGGAGCGAACAGG
rnacentral:rRNA from 1 species